GCUUCUUCUGUAUGCAUCCUGGGAAUCGUAGUCCUCUGUAACCAACUUGUGAGAAGAGCGCUUGGAGUGCACUACAAGUCCCAGGAUUCAAUGCGACCACAGGGCCACAGAUGCCGGUGCCACCAGAACCUGCAUUUCUCCUACAGGAGCUGGCAGCUCACCCAGACUAGCACAGGUGUUCUGUAGUGACCCAGUGCGCGUCAGUGCCGAGAGCAGAGAAAAUGGAGUGGAGAAAAUUCGCGAGCUUUCCUCAAGACUUUCUCUUGCGUCAGUCCCUGAGGAUUGCUGAAGCCCACGUCUGCCCCAUAUUGCAGCACUUGACUUAGGCUGUUUCCUACUUCAAUUUUCCCUGUUAUUCCAAAGGAUUCUAAUUUAUUUAAGUGCAGUGUUGCGGAGUUUAAGAAAAAUGCAAGGCAUAUGGUCAGUCUGUCAUGAGUAGGGGAAUAAGUGCCUUCCUAUGACCUGCCUUGUGCCCAUGCAUUGAACAACUAGUUUUGGCCUUCAGACACAGAAGCCAGUGGGGUAAACUAAUCCGUUAGUUCUGAUUUUCUGGUUAUAGCAAUAACCAACAUUUGGGAAAAGAUUUUUAAAUCUACUUGACUAAGAGACUACCAAAGGUUGAUAGUUUUGAUUCUUUUAUAGAUAUGUUUCUUUAUCUAUGUGGAGCUAUAACAGAAUGUUCUGCCCUGGUAGGAAAGGUGAUGCUGUAGAUUAGAGGUGCCAACGAUUGAAUGAGCAGUUACCUGUAAUGAUAAAGAGAAUGUGAAUUCACUUCAUAUUUUCUAAGAAAACAGAAUCUACAAAUAGAGUUGUUUGUUGUUGUUUUGGAGUAAGGACACUACUAAAAAUUAAAACAUGGCUUAAAAGGGGUUUGAAAUUGUCUUAGUCUGCUUGCUUUCUAUUCCUGUAAUCAUUCAUGAAAAGCAUUUGUUUGUUUGGUUGGUUGGUUCAUGAUUCUAGUGGUGGGGAAGAGCAAUAACAUGGAACUCAAUAUCUGAUGAUGAAACUUAUUUAUAUCCUGUCCUGGCAGAUGGCAUCACAUGGCAAGAUAGAGUAAGAAUGCUAACUCUUGUCUCUUUUGAUAAAGCCACUAAUUUCAUGGUGAACCAACCUCAUUAAUUUAUCUAAUGCUAACUAGCUCCCAGAAGCCUUACCUCCAAAUACCAUUAACAUAUGAACAGAGGACUGAAUUUUUAAUUCAUGAACUUUGUGGGAUAUGGUCAAACCAUAAGAGAGAAGUCAACAAACUUUGAGAUCAUGAAUAACAUCUUGCCAUUGAAUGAAUUUCAUAGAGAAAUAAAUUAUAUAUAAGAAGAAGAAAACAUCUUCCAGACAUAAUAAAGAAAAGCUUCAACUCUGAUGGAUCCCCACUGCUCUGGAGAUGUCCCCAGCAGCCAGCCAACAGCCCCUCGCUCGGACAUGGUGAACGGGUGGUGGUAGCGCAGGCGUUAUCCCUACAAAUGGAGGUUCCUACCGAGAUCCGAGAAAGAAGGGACAAGCUGAUGGACACCCGAAAGGUAAGGCUGGCCAGCAUUUUAAAGAAAAAAGGUAUGGGUGAAUUGUAUUGAAAUGGGUGCAGCUAGCUCACAGUCAGUUGAUUGGACUGUUGAAGCAGGAAGGCACGGAAGUUAAGAAAGGGCAAGACAGCUAAAGAGUUUAAAUAAAGAAGGAAAUCUUCCCAAAAGAGAAGAGGGAAGGAAAGGAAAUUUCCCGUUAGAAAAGGGAGAAAAAAUUUUAAUCAAGAAAAAAGGAUUUUCCUGGUAAAAAGGGGAAAAAUUUUUGAAACUAGGCCUAAAGAUUGGGGCCCUGUAGAGGAAGGAUAAAGGAAAGAAAGAAGCCUCUUCCCAGUGGUAAUGGAGAAAGAAAAGACUUUUUCCAAUUGUAGAAUUUUCAGGAUAGCUGAAACUCUGAGCUCUUUCUGCAGUGCAGCAUCUGAAUUACAAAGAAUCGGCAGGUAGGCCUCAUUGCUGCUGGCUGAACAGCAAGCGAGCCCAGAGGUUAGAAGUUUGGCUGUCUGUUUGCUUAUUUUGGUUCAAAUGUUUUUUAAUUUUCCCUCAGAAUGGGAAUAAUUCAAUAUUUAGGAUCCCUUCGUGGGAAAUGUUUUUCUGUUUUUCCCUUAUGGUGGGAAUAACUCAUUAGGUAGUCCCUUCAUGGGAGUAGGAAGUUUAAACAUGAGUUUGUGUGUGCGGGGUGCGCACCCAGUGGCGGACAAAGGCAUGCAAAAGAUAGCGCUGGUGGGAGUUGGAGCUGCGAUGGAGCGCGGCCCGGCCGGGCACCAGCACUAGAGCCCAGGCACCAGCACUAGAGCCUGAGCACUGGGCAAAGCCAAAGCUAAGCUGCAAGCUCAGCUCCCACCAAGUGAGCAGAGGCCCAGGAAGGGACUAGCCCUAAAACUUUAAAUGGGCCUAACUUCUGGCGAAAAAAUGGUUUCAGUCAAGACAUAGAAUGCUAAGUCAAUGCUGUUUGAAUAAAAGAUGUUUUGUUCUUUUGAUUGUCUUAAUAAAUGUUUGGAUGAAUGUUUGAUUCUCAUGGUAGAUAAACUAAAGGAAUAAGAUUCAUAAUUUUGAACUAUAUAUUAGGUGUCCUCUUGUCUGUUGAUCAUUACUGAAAAUUUGGUUCUGCAAUUUAAGUUGCUUUCUAGAAAUUCUUGGUUUAAUUCUCUAGAAAUAUAAUACCUGAAAUGGAUUGGGUUGUUAGCUUAUUAAAUAAUGUUGUUGCUAAGAUGAACCCAUAAAAAAUAAUCGCUUACUGAUAAAGAGGUCACAAAAUUAUUUUUCUAGUAAAUAAAAUACAGGUAAAUUGUUUGGUCCACAUUGUUAAUAAUUGGAUAUUUGCAUUAAUGUGUUACUUGGAAUUUAUAAAAAAAAGAUCCUCUUUUUAAGAUUUUAUAAAAAUUGUAUUUAAUGCUUUUAUAAUUAGCAUAUGUAAAAAGGACCAUAGAAAUAAAAGCUGGUGAUAGAAUUGCUCAAUUAUUAUUGCUUUCAUAUUUUAAAGGCAAAAUGGCGCCUAUAUGUAGAACUGGAGGUUUUGAAAGUAUAGGAAAAAAGAUGUUUUGACAAACAGUUAUCAAUGAUAAGCAGCCUAAAAUUAAAAACAAAAUUAUAUGGGAUUGAGAUUGAAAGAUAAUUGGAUUCUGGUGCUGGAUAUAUCUAUAAUUUCACAAGAAUCCUGAGAUCCCAAUUGGCCCCUUAAGAAUUCCAUCUCUAACCUACAAGGUAUCGGCACAGCUCAGACGCCAUUACAGAGCAGGCUACUUUUAAAUUGGAAGGAUGAGGAAGGUCAUGCAGGAACUUUUCAACCCUUUGUGCUACCUGACAUUCCAGUGAACUUGUGGGGACGAGAUGUGUUAGAUGGUAUGGGAGCAGUGCUUACUACACAGCCUGUACAACAGAUACUAAAAAGUCAGGGCUACUGCCCAGACAGAGGCUUAGGAAAAAUGUUACAAGGAGACCCACUCCCUGUGGCAGACAAAAACUGUGUCACUAGAGGUCCUGGGGGGAUACAAGAGGAUUAGGGUCUUUUCCAUAGGGGUCACUGCGCAGCAGCCUUCGAUUAUACAACCAAUAAAAAUCACUUGGAAAAGUGAUGACCCUGUAUGGGUGGAGCAGUGGCCUGACUAAAGAAAAAUUGGAGGCUGCGAACACAUUAGUUAAGGAACAGUUAGAUGCUGGACAUAUCAUUCCUUCCACUUCACCUCGGAACUCACCUAUAUUUGUUAUUAAAAAGAAGUCAGGAAAAUGGAGGCUAUUACAGGAUCUUAGAGCUGUAAAUAAAACCAUGCUUCUUAUGGGAGCAACACAGCCUGGCUUGCCUGCCCCUGUGGCAAUUCCUAAACAUUGACAUUUAAUUGUGGUUGACUUCAGGGAUUGUUUCUAAAAUGUUUUGGCAAACAGGUCCUAUUCUAUGGGUACAUUCCCCAGCUUCUCCAGCAAAAACCAUUACUCCUUAUCCACAGGCUGUUGCUCAGAUUAUAUUUAAGGGAAUCAAGAUCAGUGUUCAAACUUUUGGUAAGGAGCCAGAUAUUGUGGUGACCCCAUACACCCAGUCUCAAAUAGCAUGGUUGCAAGCUAAUGAUAAUGAUUGGACCAUAUUGACAUGCUCCAUGCAGGGUAGGUUUGAUACUCACUACCCCUCUAAUGAUGUGUGUAAAUUUUUUAAAUUGCAUCCUGUUAUAUUUCCCAAGAUAGUACAGGUGACUCCUAUUCCUCAGGCCUGUGUAGUAUUUACUGAUGGCACUUCAUGUGGUUUUGCUGUGGUAGUUUCUGGUAACAUAGUAAAGAGAAUAAAAGUUCAGGGCACUUCUGCCCAGAUGACAGAGGUACAGGCGCUGUUGCUUGCUUUACAGAUGUUUUCUGAUGAGAGUGUAAAUAUUUGUACUGAUAGUCAAUAUGUGGCACAUGCCAUUAUGCCUUUAGAGACAACAGCCUACAUACCAUCCAUUUCUCCCACUCAUGAAUAUUUAUUGCAAGUGCAAGGACUUAUAUGGCCCCGCUCACAUAACCUUUAUGUGGGCCAUAUUAGAGCUCACACCCAAUUGCCUGGACCUCUAAGUGAAGGUAAUUAGAGGGCUGAUGCCAUUACUCGUAUGGCUGUCACAUUAGUUUAUUCUGCCUUUGAAAAGGCUACUCAGUUGCAUCAACAUUACCAUCUUAAUGCUGGAUCUCUUCGUCAUCAUACAGUCAUAACCCGGGAACAAGCCUUCCAGAUAGUUAAAUCAUGUCCUAUUUGUGCUGAAUUUUUACCUGUUCCUCAUUUGGGAGUUAAUCCCCGAGGACUUUUACCUAAUCAUGUGUGGCAGAUGGAUGUCACACACACACACACACACACACACACACACACACACACACACACGUGUGCCUUCCUUUGGAAAACUACAAUAUGUCCAUGUGUCUAUUGAUACAUAUUCUUCUCUAAUUUUUGCUUCUGCUCAUUCAGGGGAAAAGGUUAAGGAUGUUAAGAAUCAUUGUCUUCAUGCUUUUGCUUACAUGGGAGUGCCAAAAUGCAUAAAGACUGAUAAUGGUCCCGCCUACAGCAGUACGGGAUUUUCAAAAUUCUGCCAAGACUUUUCUAUUGUUAAUAAGACUGGUAUUCCUUAUAACCCUCAAGGACAGGCUAUAGUUGAACACUUCCAUCAUACCUUAAAAACAUAUAUUUCUAAAGUAAAAAAGGGGGAGCUAGGGGCUCAUCUAUCUCUCCUCUCCAUAUUCUAUUCUUUCCCUUGUUUUAUAUAUUUUAAAUUUUUUAUCGGUGGAUUCUGCUGGAGUAUCCGCUGCAGAUAAGCACUGGAGGGCUCCUGUUGCAAAUCAUCCUCUGGUGUGAUGGAAGGAUCUUUCUACUGGCACUUGGAGGGGACCCGAUCCGGUGUUGGUGUGGGCCCGGGGAUCUGUUUGUGUCUUUCCACAGGACAAUGAAGUUCCUCUUUGGGUUCCUGAGUGCUGUGUGCGCCCUGUGGCUGCUGCUGAAUCCCGACAAGGCAGAGACCUAUUGGGCCUUUGUAAAAAACCCUCCCCUUCUGAUGCCAAUGGGAAUUGAGAGCCCAAUACUGCCAGCCUUGACAAGCAUUAACAUAAGCCUAGGAACUGUAACCAUAUGGUUGGAUUCUUCAGAAGGUAAUGUAUGGUAACUUUUUUCAAAAAUGUUGAGAAUAUGUCACACCUUGGAGAUUAAGGAUAACCCUGAAGUUCAAUGACCUUCAUUUGUUAACAGUAACAUGCCAGCUAAGUCUUUUCACAUUUUGCAACCCUCUUCAAGCUGGUGUAGAACCUACUUUUCAGAAAUGGCUCUGUGCAACAUUUAUUGGCCUCCUGAAAUUCAUCUAGCCUUUUUGAAGAUACCUUAAAAUUUGUGAGCCUGAAUGUAGCCAUUAAUGAGACCAUUAGUUCUGCUCCUUGUUUGCUGUUUUUGUUUUUGUUUUCUUUAUGGUUCUUAGUUGUUCUUUUGCAGACCUGCCAGCCUAAGUAGUGCUGGGAUCAAGAAAAAUGGGCCUUGGUGGUUCGUGUUCCUGGAGCUGCGUCCAUGCCUGUGGACCAUGGCAGUUAGACACAGAUGAUGCUCACACGCUCCAGAAGAGACUGACAUCGUUGUUGCCGCUGUUGCUGUUAUAGCAGUGGUGGCCACUGCUACUACUAUUUCUGGGAUGGCUAUUUCAUAAUUGGGUUCUACAGCUAGCACAAUGGAGACCCUAGCAGCAAAAGUAGCUACCACAGUUAGUUAAUCUUUUAUUGUAUAGGGCAUGAUAAAUUUAAUUCUACAUUUAUACAUUUAAAUUGGCUUUGAAAGUUGUAAAAAUUAUUAAAACUCAAGUUCCAUUUGCUUAUGGGAUACCACCUUACAAGGACUCCAAUUUGCAGUAAGGCUCGUUUAAGAAGGGAAUGGCUCGCCGGGCGGUGGUGGCACACGCCUUUAAUCCCAGCACUCGGGAGGCAGAGACCGGCGGAUCUCUGUGAGUUCGAGGCCAGCCUGGGCUACCAAGUGAGUUCCAGGAAAGGCGCAAAGCUACACAGAGAAACCCUGUCUCGAAAAAUCAAAAAACAAAAAACAAAAAACAACAACAACAAAAAAAAGAAGGGAAUGGCUCAAUUGCCUUUAGCCUCCUGGCUAUGGGUGGGUUAGGACUUCUGUUGGUCUUUUCUGUGUCGCACAGAUUGCAAGCCCAGCGCCACUUUGAGAUCUUUGGCAGCAGUCACUCUACAGCUCACGUGGUUGAGUCUGUAUGAUAAUGAGUAUUCAGAGACGGGUAAUGCUUGGGGGGGCGGUCAUCAACCUAAGACAGAGCACUUGUGUGGCGUGGGCAGGUGUCUCCAUGCCGGGUAAGAUGACCUGCUGACGUGCCACGCAUCCUAAGUCAGAAGCUCAUUUUUUAGUAAAAAGGGGGGACCUGUGGGCCCUGGUCUCCUCCCAUAUUGAGUAAAGCCGUUGCCUGCUUGCCGACCUUGACCAGGUGUCCUCCCUAUGCUAAUUCCCUGCUGGUAUCCACCCUCCUGAAUGCUUUAGGGAAGUUCUUUGUUCCUGUAUCCUGCAUUUGGUGUAAACAGCUUAGAUGCAAAAAUGUAGCAAACUUCUACCCUCCGGGGAUCCGCCAUUGUGCUGUAAGCCUGUAUUUAAGGUUUCCUCCCUCUUUCAAUAAACAGCAUUCGACUGGCAUUUGGCAUUCAGCCGUGGCGAAUGA